UGAACCUACGGGACGCAGCAGUAGGGAAUUUUCGUCAAUGGGCGCAAGCCUGAACGAGCAAUGCCGCGUGAACGAGGAAGGUCUUCGGAUCGUAAAGUUCUGUUGAAGGGGAAAAAGAGCGGAGAGAGGAAAUGGUCUCCGAUUGAUAUUACCCUUCGAGGAAGUCACGGCUAACUACGUGCCAGCAGCCGCGGUAAUACGUAGGUGGCGAGCGUUAUCCGGAAUGAUUGGGCGUAAAGGGUGCGUAGGCGGUCGUUUAAGUCUGGAGUGA
rnacentral:rRNA from 1 species